UCCUCAGUGUUACUGGCCCAGGCCCAGGAGUCUAGGACAUCUCACUCCCCCCUGCUGCCGACAAGUUUCAGUGGCCCGCAUUUCAGAACCCAUCGCUUCCUGCCAUGAACAGAAAGAAACCACGUUUGGUCACUGCAAGGUUCAUGCAUUCAUCUUCACCACUGUGAACAACACACAUUAUUGUGUGGACCCAGCAGCCAAGUGGCUUAAAAGAAGAUUCCAGAUCUUAAUGAAUAGGGACACACCUGUAUGUUGCUACACCAGCUGAAAGGUCUUCAACAAAAUGAAGAUGAUGGAUCCUGGCCUGCUGAGCAGAAAUCUUCACAUUUACACCUUUUUUGUAAUAUUCUCAAUAUAUAUAUUAUAUAUAAUAUAUAUUGAGAAUAUAUAUAUAUAUAUAAUAUUCUCUUACGUUUAAUAGACCCACUUCUGUUGUUUUUAAUACAUCUCAAGAUACAAACUGAGUCACUGUGGACAAAAAUAAUCAGUUUAACUAAGUCUUAUGUCGCCAUAUAAAGUCUCAGGCAGCUGAGAAAAUUAAGAGUCUGGAGUCAGCUGAAAUAAACACAGUUCAGUUCAAAUACAAA